UUCUCGGUAGCUCAGUUAGUGAGAGCACUGGACUGAUGAUUCGGAGGUUACGGGUUCGAAUCCCGCUCGAGGAG